rnacentral:rRNA from 1 species
AUUGAACGCUGGCGGCAGGCUUAACACAUGCAAGUCGAGCGGAGAGAGGUAGCUUGCUACCGAUCUUAGCGGCGGACGGGUGAGUAAUGCUUAGGAAUCUGCCUAUUAGUGGGGGACAACGUUUCGAAAGGAAUGCUAAUACCGCAUACGUCCUACGGGAGAAAGCAGGGGAUCUUCGGACCUUGCGCUAAUAGAUGAGCCUAAGUCGGAUUAGCUAGUUGGUGGGGUAAAGGCCUACCAAGGCGACGAUCUGUAGCGGGUCUGAGAGGAUGAUCCGCCACACUGGGACUGAGACACGGCCCAGACUCCUACGGGAGGCAGCAGUGGGGAAUAUUGGACAAUGGGCGGAAGCCUGAUCUAGCCAUGCCGCGUGUGUGAAGAAGGCCUUAUGGUUGUAAAGCACUUUAAGCGAGGAGGAGGCUACUUUAGUUAAUACCUAGAGAUAGUGGACGUUACUCGCAGAAUAAGCACCGGCUAACUCUGUGCCAGCCGCCGCUGUAACAC